rnacentral:rRNA from 1 species
CCUACGGGUGGCUGCAGUGGGGAAUAUUGCACAAUGGGCGCAAGCAUGAUGCAGCCAUGCCGCGUGUGUGAAGAAGGCCUUCGGGUUGUAAAGCACUUUCAGCGGGGAGGAAGGCGGUGAGGUUAAUAACCUCAUCGAUUGACGUUACCCGCAGAAGAAGCACCGGCUAACUCCGUGCCAGCAGCCGCGGUAAUACGGAGGGUGCAAGCGUUAAUCGGAAUUACUGGGCGUAAAGCGCACGCAGGCGGUCUGUCAAGUCGGAUGUGAAAUCCCCGGGCUCAACCUGGGAACUGCAUUCGAAACUGGCAGGCUAGAGUCUUGUAGAGGGGGGUAGAAUUCCAGGUGUAGCGGUGAAAUGCGUAGAGAUCUGGAGGAAUACCGGUGGCGAAGGCGGCCCCCUGGACAAAGACUGACGCUCAGGUGCGAAAGCGUGGGGAGCAAACAGGAUUAGAUACCCUAGUAGUC